rnacentral:rRNA from 2 species
GACUGGGAUAACUUCGGGAAACCGGAGCUAAUACCGGAUACGUUCUUUUCUCGCAUGAGAGAAGAUGGAAAGACGGUUUACGCUGUCACUUAUAGAUGGGCCCGCGGCGCAUUAGCUAGUUGGUGAGGUAAUGGCUCACCAAGGCGACGAUGCGUAGCCGACCUGAGAGGGUGAUCGGCCACACUGGGACUGAGACACGGCCCAGACUCCUACGGGAGGCAGCAGUAGGGAAUCUUCCGCAAUGGACGAAAGUCUGACGGAGCAACGCCGCGUGAACGAAGAAGGCCUUCGGGUCGUAAAGUUCUGUUGUUAGGGAAGAACAAGUACCAGAGUAACUGCUGGUACCUUGACGGUACCUAACCAGAAAGCCACGGCUAACUACGUGCCAGCAGCCGCGGUAAUACGUAGGUGGCAAGCGUUGUCCGGAAUUAUUGGGCGUAAAGCGCGCGCAGGUGGUUCCUUAAGUCUGAUGUGAAAGCCCACGGCUCAACCGUGGAGGGUCAUUGGAAACUGGGGAACUUGAGUGCAGAAGAGGAAAGUGGAAUUCCAAGUGUAGCGGUGAAAUGCGUAGAGAUUUGGAGGAACACCAGUGGCGAAGGC